rnacentral:rRNA from 1 species
GAUGAACGCUAGCGGGAGGCCUAAUACAUGCAAGUCGAGCGGUAGAGUGACUUCGGUUGCUUGAGAGCGGCGAACGGGUGAGUAACGCGUACACAAUCUACCUUUAAGAGGGGAAUAGCCCUGGGAAACUGGGAUUAAUGCCCCAUGGCAUCACGAGACGGCAUCGUUUUGUGAUUAAAGCUGAGGUGCUUAGAGAUGAGUGUGCGUCUGAUUAGCUAGUUGGUGCGGUAACGGCGCACCAAGGCGACGAUCAGUAGGGGGCGUGAGAGCGUGGACCCCCACACGGGUACUGAGACACGGACCCGACUCCUACGGGAGGCAGCAGUAAGGAAUAUUGGUCAAU